rnacentral:lncRNA from 1 species
CUGCUUAUACCUCCUGGUGAAUUUACUAUCUUGCUUUAGCACUUUUGCACUCCAUUUUUAUUUUUAAAAAUGAAGGAAAUGUGAAAAAACAACUUUAUGGAGUUCCCAUUGUGGCUCAGUGGUGAUGAACCUGACUAGUAUCAUCCAUGGGGACGCAGGUUCAAUCCCUGGUCUCACUCAGUGGGUUAAGGAUUUGGCAUUGCUGUGAGCUGUGGUGUAGGUCAUAGAUGUGACUCAGAUCCCACAUUGCUGUGGUUUUGGUAUAGGCCAGCAGCUGCAGCUCUGAUUUGACCCCUAUCCUGGGAACUUCCAUAUGCUGAGAGUACAGCCCUAAAAACAAAACAAAACAAAACAAUACACACACACACACAAAAAAAAAAAACUUUAUUUUCAGCAGGUAGGUCUCUUAUUUAUAUAGACUUUGGGUGGGAAGAAAAAUAGAAAAGAAGACAUAGCAAACAUUCUUACUAAUUAUCUGAUGACAAAUGAAUUAUUUUAUUUAUGGCUACAGACCUAUUCCCAGCUUCCUUAGAAAUACUUUGGUGAAAACAAUGACCAUCUGAGAAAUAACUGAGUCUAAACUCUAGGCAGUGACAAUUUCAGAGACAAAUUGAAAAGGAUGAAAAAACAAAUGUUUUGUUUCUCUCAAGACAGACCAAAUUGGGAAUGGAUUCUGUGGUCCCAUGGACACACCCUUUUGAGAGCAGUAAGCCACAAUAUGUGAAGUUCCCACCCUCCCUAAGGCUGCCUAGACCAGGAGAUGGACAGGCUCAAUUCUGAACAUCCUUUAUCAGUCAGAGGGCUUUAGAGGUGGAAUGUGAAUUGCUGUAUAAUUUUGAAAUUUAUCCUUUCAUACUUAGGUUGAGUCAUUUUGAUUGAAAGGAGAAGAUAUUCAUUGGGAUGUUUCAAAUGUGGAAUGAUGAAGUUUUAAGAUUUCUACUAGAUGCAGUGGUGUGGUAUGUUUCCUAAUUGUGUCCAGGACAGAGCUUUUAUGAUUAUGCAAUUAUUUUCCAAUUCUCAGCCUCUGAAAUAAACAUCUGGACAGAAUUAUAAUACCCUGUGGGUAGAGACUGGGUCUAUAAUUGCUAUUUACCAAUGUGCUUUAGGUUCCAGGCUCAAUAGCACUGCCUUCUCUGUUCUAUAACCUGUACAUAACGAUGACUCAGGAGAAAUGUUACCUGGAGAACUCAAACUUUAGGGUGUUUCACAGCUAUCCGUCUCCUCAAUAAUUGUUCUAACUGCUGAUUCUCUGGCCCCAUCACUGGUGAUUCUGAUUCUUAAGGUCUAGAUGGGUACAGGGAAUUGGCGUGUUUAACAGGCUUCCCUAUAUAACUGGUCAUGCAGUUUUCUCAGCACAUUUUAAGGAACAUAGUCCUAGUCUUCUGCACCAUUCUGGAUGAGCGCUGUGUGCGUCCACUUUGCACAGCCAUCUUCAUUAAAGAACACACUCUCACAUCACACUCUGGGCCAAUUAAUCUGAUUUCUCUAAUCAUGAGUGUUCUAAUCAUUCACUCUUCAAAGUGGUGAGAGAUUUCUCAGAAACCACUUUGGUUUUUGGAGAAGUGGAGUGACUGCAUCAACACUGAUUCUGUUUUUGCAAUGUGGGCAGUGGACAAAAUUAACCUUUUGUUUUCUGGUUCAGGGCAAUCAUUUAGUACCAAAAGGAAAGCUAUCCACAUACUCACUGUAUCAUUUUGUUUGUGUACAAACACUGUUUGUGUUUAUAUUUGUAGUUUUAGUAAUUGAGAUUUUGACGAGUGUCUAUGUUCAACAUCUCAAUGUCCAAGUUGGGAAGAGGUGUUACAGGGGAGGAAAGAGAAGGAGUGAGAGUGGAUGAGGAGGUUAUUCAAGACAUUUUGUUUUGGGGAUACCUGCCAAAAUUCCUGACAUCAAAUCAAAUAUUCCAUGAAUAGGUGGUUUUUGAUAUUUUUUAGGGAGUCAUGGACUCCCUCUAGGAUCUGAUUAAAGAUCUAAAGCUAACCAGAAACAUGCAUAUAGAACACUUGAACACAAAAAUUUUCAACAAUUAUAAGUUUUUCAUAGAUUGCCCUCCCCCAAAGCUCAUCUAGAUUUAGAGCUUGUGUUCUGAGUAGAUUGCCUGUGCCUCCUUCUUUAAAGCAAUCUUUUUGCUCCUACCACAGACACUCCUGCAUCAGUCCUUAAGAGUUCUAUAGAUAGGGAUCACUUGGGGGUAAUUGCUAGUUAUUGCUCUACCCUUAGAGACUGAUUCAGCAGGUCUGAGUCCCAGCUGAAGCACACCAGUUAUUUUACAAGCCUCAGGUGAUAAUGAUGCAGGUAAUAAAUUAUCACAAUUUGAUAAAUAGUCACAAUGAGAAACUGGGCAGUGACUCAGAAAGCGGUGGCUCAACUAGUAUGAAUAUAUAGAAAAAGCAAUCAGACCCAUUUCCUCAACCAGAGAGAAACCUAGGUAAAAAGCCUGGGGCUGGCUUUUCCAAGACCCUCCUCUCUAUCUGCCCAUCUGUUCAACUUGGCUAUCCUAUUGCAGUCAUUUUAGCCAAUGAAAAUUGCACACAGUGCCCAGUUUAACUUCAUAUUUUCUGUAUAAAAUAUUGAGGAUGGGGGCUUUGGUAGGCAAAAAGAUUUUUCUCUCACACCAGACUCUUACAAGGGUGUUUAGGGCCUAUUUUUUUUCUUCAAAGGAUUUCCUUGUCCUUGUGUUCAGGGAGCUGUACUGCUUACAACUCAAAAAAGAUAAGGAUGUGUUGAGUAGACAAGCUAUAGUGAUGCUUCCUCACCAGUUUCUACAUGCUUCCAGAGAGUAACUUGGCUGGAUAUGUUGAAACAAUGCAGAAGAUCUUCUGUAGGUUGACAGCAGCCACUGGUGAACAAAAAUAAAUUUUAUUCUCUGUGCCAGUGAAUAAAAAUAUUCUAGAAGAAAACAAAAGUCCUGCCCUAGUGGGCAGGCUCAUCAUUUGCCUUCCUGAUAUAUCAAAACAGUAGUCAGAAUAAAAUAGAAACCCAUCCACCCCACUCUGACCAAACAGGACAUAUAGCCAAAAAUUAUAUCAAAGUAUCUAAAUAUUGAAUUUUAAUUUUUCCUUUCAAAGAAUAAAUGCAUGAUAUUUCUACAACAUUGACCUCAGCUAACUUUCGCAACUGUGGCUUGUCAAACUUUCCUCUUUCAUCCCUCACUGUAAAUAAAGAUUGCUUUCAGAUUGUAUGAGAAGAAAUCAGAUCAUAAUAGGAGAAAAAAAAAUAGGCAUUUUUUCCUCUGAUGCAGGAGGGCAUUUAAGUGGCUCUUAUCAAG